CCUACGGGAGGCAGCAGUGAGGAAUAUUGGUCAAUGGACGGAAGUCUGAACCAGCCAUGCCGCGUGCAGGAAGACGGCCCUACGGGUUGUAAACUUCUUUUGUCAGGGAGCAAUUGGGUCCACGCGUGGGCUUAGCGAGGGUACCUGAAGAAAAAGCAUCGGCUAACUCCGUGCCAGCAGCCGCGGUAAUACGGAGGAUGCGAGCGUUAUCCGGAUUUAUUGGGUUUAAAGGGUUCGUAGGCGGAUUGAUAAGUUAGAGGUGAAAUGUCCGAGCUUAACUCGGGAACUGCCUUUAAUACUGUUGAUCUAGAGAGUAGAUGCGGUAGGCGGAAUGUAUGGUGUAGCGGUGAAAUGCUUAGAGAUCAUACAGAACACCGAUUGCGAAGGCAGCUUACCAAUCUAUAUCUGACGUUGAGGCACGAAAGCGUGGGGAGCAAACAGGAUUAGAUACCCCUGUAGUC
rnacentral:rRNA from 1 species